rnacentral:rRNA from 1 species
GGAGGGUGCAAGCGUUGUUCGGAAUUAUUGGGCGUAAAGAGCGUGUAGGCGGUCCGGUAAGUCAGAUGUGAAAGCCCUGGGCUCAACCCAGGAAGUGCAUUUGAAACUACCAGACUUGAGUACGGGAGAGGAGGGGGGAAUUCCCGGUGUAGAGGUGAGAUUCGUAGAUAUCGGGAGGAAUACCAGUGGCGAAGGCGCCCUCUGGACCGAUACUGACGCUGAGACGCGAAAGUGUGGGGAGCAAACAGGAUUAGAUACCCUGGUAGUCCACGCCGUAAACGAUGAGCACUAGGUGUAGCGGGUAUUGACCCCCCUGCUGUGCCCGUAGCUAACGCAUUAAGUGCUCCGCCUGGGGGACUGCGGUCGCAAGACUA